GAUGAACGCUAGCGGCAGGCCUAACACAUGCAAGUCGAGGGGUAGCAGGAUUAAGCUUGCUUAAUUGCUGACGACCGGCGCACGGGUGCGUAACGCGUAUGCAACCUACCUUAUACUGGGGUAUAGCCCGGAGAAAUUCGGAUUAAUCCCCCAUAGUACUAAUGAAUCGCAUGGUUUAUUAGUUAAAGCAUUGCGGUAUAAGAUGGGCAUGCGUCCUAUUAGCUAGAUGGUGAGGUAACGGCUCACCAUGGCUACGAUAGGUAGGGGGCCUGAGGGGUGGGUCCCCCAAACUGGAACUGAGAAACGGACCAGACUCCAAAGGGAGGCAGCAUUGAGGAAUAUUGGUAAAAGGGCGCAAGCCUGAACAAGCCAUGCCGCGUGCAGGAAAAAUGCCCUAAGGGUUGUAAACUGCUUUUAUUUGGGAAUAAACCUCUUUACGUGUAGAGAGCUGAAGGUACCAAAUGAAUAAGCACCGGCUAACUCCGUGCCAGCCGCCGCCGUAA
rnacentral:rRNA from 1 species